rnacentral:rRNA from 1 species
GCAGGCUGCAACUCGCCUGCAUGAAGUCGGAAUUGCUAGUAAUCGUAGGUCAGCAUACUACGGUGAAUACGUUCCCGGGCCUUGUACACACCGCCCGUCACACCAUGAGAGUUGGAAAUACCCGAAGCCUGUGAGCUAACUUAAAGAGGCAGCAGUCGAAGGUAGAGCCAAUGAUUGGGGUGAAGUCGUAACAAGGUAAC